GCGCCCAUAGCUCAGUGGACAGAGCGACUGGCUACGGACCAGUAGGCCGGGGGUUCAAAUCCUCCUGGGCGCACCA
rnacentral:tRNA from 1 species